AUUGAACGCUGGCGGCAGGCCUAACACAUGCAAGUCGGACGGAGCGGCGGACGGGUGAGUAAUGUUUGGGAAUCUGCCUUAUGGAGGGGGAUAACUACUGGAAACGGGAGCUAAUACCGCAUACUAUCAGAUGAGCCCAGGUGGGAUUAGCUAGUUGGUGGGGUAACGGCCUACCAAGGCGACGAUCCGUAACUGGUCUGAGAGGAUGAUCAGGCACACUGGAACUGAGACACGGUCCAGACUCCUACGGGAGGCAGCAGUGGGGAAUAUUGGACAAUGGGCGAAAGCCUGAUCCAGCCAUGCCGCGUGUGUGAAGAAGGUCUUCGGGUUGUAAAGCACUUUCAGUCGGGAGGCGUUACCAACAGAAUAAGCACCGGCUAACUUCGUGCCAGCAGCCGCGGUAAUUC
rnacentral:rRNA from 1 species